rnacentral:lncRNA from 1 species
AAACCAGCCGCUUGACAGCAUGUCAGGACACUACAACAAUGCCUGAAGCCAUUCACCAUUCAGAAGGUAGUCGGCACUACUUGUACCGUUUCCCGAGUUCGGUUUGCACCGCUAUUCGCCAUCCAACGGCUCACAUCGCAAGCUGACGGGUAAUACUGUCCCAGACGGUGAAUACUCGUUAAGUUGUUGCUUGAGCUGUAAAAUAGCUCUUUUACUUGCUGUUAAAUCUAGGAAUCGUUAUGUAAUGGAAGGACUGGGUGAGCAGCCCUCGUGUCGUGAAGAACAAACCCUAGAAUAUGUUUUGGUUUAGCAGUAGCCUCUAUGGUGCCGCCUCGGCGAUUUCAUCUGUAUCUGAACUUCCUUAUCAGUUAAGUGAAUUUGCUACUACUAGUCUGAAUUUCUUUGUUUGUUCAUUGUUUUCCUUUGGCUCGGUCCCCUUUCUUCCUUCGAUUUCUCUCUGAAUUUCCCUGAGACCUGACAAUUGGUAUCAAGAGCCAUCGGUUCUUGGCUUAAUCCCACCCAGCCACCCAUUCCACCCAAAUCCUACCCAACCCACCCUUUCCACUCAAAUCCCACCCAUCCCACCCAGAUUUAGACCAACACCCACUCUUUCCCUAAACAAUCGGUGAAUUUGCUUGGGCUAGGGUUGCAAGAUAGUGUUCUUGUGUAAAAUUUCGGAACCCUGAGUGAAUUGUCACCGAGGAGGCGUUGGAGGAAGGUUGCUCUUUGACUUGGGUUUCAAGGCUUGUUCUUGUGUAAAAUUCCUCGGUCAAAUCUGCAACCUAGGCGGUGGUAGAACUGAUUUGGGAGUCUAAUUGGGAAGAGCCUUGGCUUGAACCGAACUCUCAAUUUGGGUGACAAUGGUGCUCAAAUAAAAUAGUGGAUCAUCAAGCUUUGCUUCGGUGGAGGAAGUUGAGAAAUUGAAGUCCACACUAGACUCCUUCAUACUGAAACAUGAGGAGCAAAACAAGGUUUUGGAGUCCUCUUUGGAUAAGGUUUUGAGCAGCCUCAAUACAUUGGCCGGGUCAUCUGGUACUGAAGACAAGGGUUCAGCUUUCAAGGGCAAUGCUAUAUCACCACCUCCAAUUACCCUGGCCAACACGUCGGUUCACAUGAGGAAUGAUUUGUCUCGGUUCCAUCAACAAGUAUAUACUCCACCACCUGCAGUUACUGCUCAAGUCCAUAAUUUGCAGUCCACCCCUUGGUUUACUAAAGAACCCUCAGGAGAGGAUGAGGAUGAAGGAAAUGCUGAUUGUCCUUAGACAGCUAAGGAGUUGGAAGUAUUUUACUUCCAGGCCAAUGCUCCUUAUGAUACUGAACAGGAACAGAUACAAUAUGAGGCUACCUUUUCCAAACAACUAGCCUAGCAAGAUCAUCACUAUGGACAAGCUGUUCAUUCUUUCAGACCAUACACUCUCAGCAAACUGCUACUAGAAAUUUGGCUUUCACUCAACAGCUGCAAGCACAACAAAAGUUACUAGCUAAAGGCCCAAAAUUAUCUUUCCCUGAAUUUGAUGGCUUGGGUCCGAUGGUUGGAUAAGAAAGGUUGAGAAGUUCUUUGAACUGGUUGGGGUUCCCAAUGAAAAAAGAGUGCAAAUUGUUGUGAUGUACAUUAUGGGCAAAACUGAAUUUUGGUGGAGAAGCAUUGGCUGUAAUGCUCAUAACAUUCCCUAGCAUCAUUUCUGCAUAAUGAUAACUGACAGGUUUAAUGAAGAAUCUUCUUAUGAAGUGAUUGCUAUGUUUCAUGGGCUAAAACAUACAAGUACUGUUUCAGAGUAUAUCACUAAGUUUGAGGAAUCGAUGGGUUCAGUGAAAAGAGAAAAUCCUUCUCUACAAGAUUCCUAUUUCAUUACAAGUUUUGUCUCAGGAUUACAAGAACCCAUACAACAUCAUUUAUAGUGCCACAAACCAUCUUCCUUAACUAAUGCUUUUUGGUAUGCUAGAAGGUUGGAGCAAACUCAUCCUCAAGUUAAAAAGCACCAGCAAUUCACUAGCACUUUUAAGCCCCCAAAAAUCUGGACCAAGGAUAUUAAAGAAAAAGAGAAUACAACAAACACUAUUGCUGAAUUAAGAGUAGCUGGCAAGUGUUUCAAGUGCAAAGAGGCCUGGGUGCCUGGCCAUGCUAAGGUAUGUAAAGGAAAAUAAAUUUAUUCAGUUAUGAUGGUGGAGACAAAUGUGAAAGAAGAAAUGACUUUAAUUGAAGAUGAUGCGCAUAGAGAUGAUGGAGAGUACCAUGAUGCUGAAUCAAUACCAACAGUUAAACUCUCAAUGCAUGCCUUAACUGGUACUUCAUCCUUAGCCAGAACCUUCACACUCACAGUCAAGAUUGGCACUACUUCUGCGAUAGCACUUGUGGACAGUGGUAGUGAUGUGUCUUUUAUUAAUGCAAAGUUUGCUCUAAAGAAUAACCUGUCAAUUUCCCAGAUUGAGCCAGUCAAGGUAGCAGCUGCUAAUAGUACUUAAAUGCUCAGCACCGCUUGUACUGCUCGCUCUUAUUCCAUUCAAGGUCCUUCAUUUAAAUCUGAUUUGAGACUGUUGGAAGUUCAAGGCUUUGAUGUGGUUUUAGGAGCUGACUGGAUUUACACUCACAGUCCAGUUGGUUUGGAUUUAAAGAAGAGGGAAUUUUCUAUUACCAAGGAUGGUAAAACAACUGUCACAUUUCAAGAGGAGAAUGCUACUAGUAGCUGUCAGCUAAUUAGCACCAGAAAGUUUGCAAUUUACUGAAGAAAAAAGUUGUAGGAGCUGUGUUGGUGUUAACUAACAGCAAAGAUCCAGUCACUAAAACUUCACCCUCCAUACCAGAUCAAAUUCAAGAAGUGUUGGAUGACUUUCAGGAUGUAUUUGCAGAGCCUUCCUCCUCAAAGAAUAGUGGAUCAUUCCAUACCUCUGAUUGAUGCAACGAAAACAAUUAAUCAGAGACCAUAUAGGUUACCACACCAUUAGAAAAAUGCAAUGGAGGAAUUGAUUCAAAACCUCAUAUAGGCUUACAUGAUAAGACCUAGUGUAAGCCCUUAUUAUUCUCCUGUGAUCUUAGUCAAAAAGAAAGAUGGCACUUGGAGGCUUUGUGUGGAUUUUAGACAAUUGAACUCCAAUACAGUAAAAAACAAGUAUCCAAUUCCAAUCAUUGAAGACCUUUUGGAUGAGUUAUUUGGGGCUCAAAUUUUCUCUAAAAUUGACCUCAGGUCAGGUUAUCAUCAAAUCAGAAUGAAUGAGGCAGACAUUCACAAAACUGCAUUAACCACUCAUGUUGGUCAUUUUGAGUAUCUAGUCAUGCCAUUUGGACUCACAAAUGCUCCAGCAACCUUUCAAACAUUGAUGAAUACUAUUUUAGCAGAAUUCUUAAGAAAAUUUUCCUUGGUCUUCUUUAAUGACAUAUUGAUUUACAGCACCUCCUUAGCAGACCAUGUGGAUCAUCUGAAAUAUGUUUUAGUAGUGCUCAGGGAAAACAAAUUGUAUGCCAAACUCUCUAAAUGUACUUUUGCUCAACCUGAAGUGGAAUACUUGGCGCAUGUGAUUAACAAGGAGGGUGUGGCUACAGAUCCUUCUAUGAUAUCAAUUAUUCAAAAUUGGCCACAACCAAAGUCUAUCACUGAACUGAGGGCAUUUUUGGGACUUACUGGCUAUUACAGGAGGUUUAUUCAAGGCUAUGGUAUUAUCUACAGGCGAUUGUUUGAUGCACUGAAGAAAAAUGCUUUUGAGUGGAUUUCAAAGCAAUCUCAAGCUUUUGAGCAACUUAAACAUUUGAUGUCCCACCCACCAGUCUUAUCCCUCCCAGAUUUCUCUCAACCUUUUAUUUAUGAGGCUGAUGCAAGUGGCAAUGGGAUGGGGGCUGUAGUGAUACAAAAUGGGAAACCACUCUCUUUUCUCAGCAAAACGUUGGGUCCUAAAGGAGCAGCUCUAUCAACAUAUGAAGAGGAAGCAAUGGCAAUUUUAGAGGCAAUAAAAAAGUGGAAGCAUUACUUUGCUAGCACAUCUAUUAUCAUCAGGACAUAUCAGUAGAGUUUAAGGUACAUUCAUGAACAAAGGCUUGUAGAGGGAAUUCAGCAUAAAUUACUAGUAAAACUGUUGGGGUAUAAUUACAAAAUUGAGUAUAAGAAAGGCAAGGAAAACAAAGCAACUGAUGCUUUAUUUAGAGUUGAGCUCAACACAACACUACAUGCAAUAUUUGUCAUCAUACCAACCUGGAUUGAGCAGGUGAUAGAUAGUUACAAGAUUGACCCUUUCUGCCUUGAAUUGAUCACCAAAUUGAGCUUAGACACCAAUGCUAUCCCCAACUAUACAUUAGCUAGUGGAGUAUUGAGAUACAAAGGUAGAGUACUGAUUUGUAAUAAGUGCCAUUUGAAGUCAAACAGUGACCCUGAAGAAUUCAGAAAGAAAUUCAAAAGAAAAAGAAGAAAAAUAGCAAAAAGACCAAAUUCGACCAAAUUUUGACCGAAAUUUGAAUUUCAAAUUUGAAAUUCAGAAAAAUUUGUCAAAAAUGUGGAACACAAGUGUAAGAGUGAUUGGAACUGAAGGAUCAAAAAUUUGGAAUUGAAAUAGUGCUAAGUACUUCAGAAGAAUCAAAGAAAGAAAAAAGAAAAACUCAGUUUACUGUUCACCAUCCGAAAACAGGAAUUCAGAGAAAACAGCCUCAGAGUUGAUUUUGGAAAUUGAUUUCUGGAAAAUUUUUCAAAUAAGUGCACCAGGACAACUACACUAUAUUGAAGUAUAAACCUUGGGCUACAAGAUUUGGGUGUUGUUGGCCAGGAUCAGUAAUAGGAAGGAAUUCAAAUUCAAGCCCAAAGUCAGCACAUUAUCACAGUUAACUGACACUCUGAAAUACAGCUAAGUCUGAAACUUGACAGCAUAGGGUUAACUUUGAGCUCGGAUUCAGGGCAAUGUAGAUCAAGAAGGGUAGGUGUUCUCAGGCAAAAUGGAAACUUGGGAGGUUAUAGAACACGUUUGAGAAGAAAUUGGACUGAGGGCAGAAGAUUUAGACCACUAAAUCGAGUCAUCAAAUGAGCUCCAUGGCACUGUCAACGCCUGACGAAACUGAAUAAUGGUUUCAGUUGAAAUUCAGAGGAACCCAAGAAAACAAAUCCAAAUUCAAGCCAAUUCGAUGCUUAUCUCGAGCCGAAAUCAAAAUAAAAGUUAAAGAGCUCGAGUUUAUCUGCCACUUUGGUUAAAGCACGAGCAGCCGUCGGAUCAAGGAUCAGCCGCUAGCCGCUUCUGAAGAUCGCGGGCGCCAGAAGACGGUAACUGAGCACCAGGACGUGUCGCCGCCGCCGUCGUCGGUCGUCCGCCAGCGCAGCUAAGCUAGGCCACCUCCUCACCACGCAAGCCUAGCAGUAGACCACGGUGGCAGCCAUGCGCGCGGUGAAAUCCUUGAAUGUUUACUGUUCCCGCGCCGCCGUUUCACUGCUUCCCCUUUUUACCGCCGCCCGCUCUCCUCUGAUCAGUAUCGCCGCCAAGCAAAAUUCUAUCUCCUCCCAGCAGCUCUCGUCGAUUCCUCUCGCCCACUCCUCCACAGACACCCCAGCCACACCCCGAGCUAGUUGUUGUCCCACAUCCUCGCCGGAAUAGCCGUGCUCGCCGCCGCUUCUGUCCGCCGCCGUCGCGCCGCCCACUCACGGUGAGAACCACCUUGCGCUACCUUUCUUCUUCCUUGAGCAGUCGUGGUCGAGUUCUUAGGGUUCCAGGAUGGAGUAGAAGCAGUCGGUUGAGUCAGUUAAGUAGUUGUCACGGGUAACGAUGGCCGGCCGUGGGUGUUGCCGCCCGUCGCCGUGGAGGGGGUAGCUCCAGUCGUCUCCAGGGGAGCUGUUUCCGCGCACGGAGUCGUGUAGGGUUAGGGUUGGUGUCGUCAUCGAGAACCGCCGCCGGGAGGGUGCCGGCCGGCGAGCCGCGCCGCCCCCUGUUCCGGUCGCGCUUUUGGCGGGAGGAGAAAGAAGGUGCUGUGCACCGGGCCCGCAUGUCAGUAAGAGAGAAGGGGAGGAAGGCGCGGGUCAGAGCGGUGCGGCCGUCUGUGGGCCGGUGCGUUGAGGCCCAGUGACGCGCGUGCGGUCGGCCGAAAAAGAAAAGAGCCGGAGGCCCAGGGAAAGCAGGCCGCGAUCGCGUAAGCAAAGAGAAAAAGGAAGAAGGCCGUUGGGCCGGUGUCAGGCCGGAGAAGGGGAAAGAAAAAGAAGAACGGCCCACGGGGCCCAUCAGAGGGAGAAAGGGGCUGGCGGGUAGAGUAUAUAGGAGAAGUGGGGUCCGCGCCGUGGGGGGCCCAGUGUUCGCGAGUGAGGGUAGAGUGUGGGUGAGUGAGAAAAGUUUUCCGGGGGAAUUUCGGGGAAAAAUUAGAUUUCUUUAGCAAAAUAAUCCGUUUAAAUUCGUUUUACACCAUUUUAAUCACAGAAAUUUGUAGGAGUGUCCAAAAUUAGUGAAACCAAUUUUGUUAGGCUUGUUUUAUUUUCCUUUAUGCAUUAAAAUUUUUACACCCUAGGAAAAUAAUAAAAAUUUAGGUAUUUAUUUAAUGCCUUCCUUUUAAGGUAAUUAAAUAAAUACUUAAUAUUUAUACAAUGUAUAAAAUAUGAAUAAUGCUUUAUCAAUCACAAAUAAUCCUUAACCCAUAAGAAAUUAGAUUUUCAAAGUUAGAAAGUAAUUACCACUUUUUCUAAAAAUAAAAGAAAAAGCUAUAGGAAUGGUUAAUUAAGAAAAUAAAAAUCUAGGUUAAUCUUUUUAGAUUUCUUUUGUGUGUUGACUUACAACCUAUUCGUGAUAAGUCGUAUAGUCCUUGUUGGCUUGCAACUUUAUCAUGAAGAAAAGUUGUAUAGUCUGUCAUUUAAAAAGUUUGCAUCCUAACCCCCUGCAUGUAUGUACCGUAGAUCCAGAAGCGCCAGAAGAGGAUUACUGGGAAUUUUCAGAAGGACCCUUGGAAUCCGACGAGGUGUUUGAAUUUGUUCCCUACGAGGCAAAUCCGUCGGCUUCUACUAAUCGUUUUAACGAUCAAGGCAAGCCCCGGUGCAUUUAUACCUAUCUAUUUUGGAGUCGUUAUUUCAUGUGACUAGUUAUAGGUUAAUUGGUUAUUGUAUGCACUAGGUCUAGGAGUUGGAUGAAACCUAUUCUUGUGUAUGAUCAUGCCUUGAAUUAAGGACAUCUUUGCCACUUGUUCAAAUCCUAGAAACUACCCAAGUCUAGAAUUGCUUACUCGCUUACAUGCUUGGUUUACCAACUUUAGGAAAAACUCUUGAUCAUACAUGCUGUUUAGGAAAGAUAGUUUGAAGUAUAGAACCAGACAGAAGCUAGAGAUGUAGUUCUGUCUGCUUAUUAAUCUGCUUGAGGACCGGGCCGUGUCUUAACUGCUGAUCAAGUGAUAACAUCUGAUCACUUACUGGGUAUGGGACCAGUAAAGCCCAGUAGGUUAGUAAAUUCUAUGAUCAGGAAUGCUUCGUACCCGCAUUUAACGUGCUGGAGAUUGGCAGGGGUGUAGCCUGAAACUCACAUGGGGAUCAGGCCAGACGUGGGGUCCCAUGUGGGGGUGCAUCCCUGGGUCCGGGUAGUUGUGUUCCUAAUCAUUGACUUUACUAAUCGAGAGGUUGCUAGUACGACCUGGACAGUCGUAUAAUGCUGGUGAUCGGGGUAUUCUCCUACAGGAUGUAAAUUGAUCCGGAUCGCCGCAAUUCUCGGUUAUGAAUGCACUUGAUCACUGUUGAGCUUCGUAGCAUGAACUCAUGUGAUAUAAAAAUUUCUGUUGCCAAGUACUGUAUGAAUCAACAGCUGUGAUUGCUUUUACUUCUGUUACCAUCUAGAAUGGUUAGGUAACAACUUAACUAAACUAAAAGACAAAACUAAGGCCUCACUCGUAGUAAGCUUUUCGGCAAAAAUUGUGUCAACCAAGCACACCUAAAGGCUGACAUGCAUUCCACAGAAAAACUAUUAUAUUGGUUAGUCGGGUAAGACUUGCUGAGUACCCCGUACUCAGGGUUUUCCCCUUGUGGUUAUCUUUCAGAAGCUACCCAAGAAGCUGUCGAGGAGGAGACCCCGAAGACCUAGAGUAUUGACCUGAGUCUCUCAAUACUCUAGAAAACCGUUAGCGACGCAUCUUCUCCUAAACUACUUAUAUUUAAUCUUAGAGCUUGUCUAACUAUGCAUCACUAAGUUUGUUUCAACUUGAAGUCUUGUAAUAACUCGUACCUCUUAUUUAUGUAUGUAAAAAAUGUAAUGUUUGUUGAUAUUAUCCCAUCGCGGAUACUAUCCUGAUGUAUGGUGAUGAAACACGCCGUGGAUCUUUCGAGGAGUCCUAGGGACACUCGACGGACUACCGGACUUAUGCUGUUUUAGGUGCGUUUCGGAUAAUUGCUGCUCCGACAGCGAUUAGGCGCACUUAAACCAGCUUAAGUUGGGCGGUUCCGCCACAGCUGGUAUCAGAGCCGUAGGUUGGGAUAAUCAACAAAUAUUACUUUGCAAAUACUGAGACUCUAUUUUAAAAUAAUAAAAACAAGAGUCACAGGUGGCAGUAGUGUUAACUGGUUGAUUGUUUUGCAGAUGCUAACUGUUUGCUGCGUGUCGCUAGUAUUCGAUAGUUUAUUAGGGAGAGAUUACAAUGCCACCAAUUUUUCUACGAGUGUGUAUA